rnacentral:misc_RNA from 1 species
GAUGACGAACGUAGCGAAAUGCGAUAAGUAAUGUGAAUUGCAGAAUUCAGUGAAUCAUCGAAUCUUUGAACGCACAUUGCGCCCGCCAGUAUUCUGGCGGGCAUGCCUGUUCGAGCGUCAUUUCAACCAUCAAGCCCCCGGCUUGUGUUGGGGACCUGCGGCUGCCGCAGGCCCUGAAAACCAGUGGCGGGCUCGCUAGUCACUCCGAGCGUAGUAAUACAUCUCGCUCAGGGCGUGCUGCGGGUUCCGGCCGUUAAAAAGCCUUAUUUACCCAAGGUUGACCUCGGAUCAGGUAGGAAGACCCGCUGAACUUAAGCAUAUCAAUAAGCGGAGGA